rnacentral:lncRNA from 1 species
GGGGACGCCGCGGGAGAUGGUACAGUCCACCCCUCGGGCUGCCCACCGCCCCCCUCCUCCGCGGUUCAAGUUUCUGCGGCCGGAGGACGCGGCCUCCGCCAAUCCCAGGGCUACAGGACGCUUUUAAAAUGCAGGGCUGUGUGUGUCCAUUUAAAGCCACACAAAUGCUUUGGAGAGCCAGCUAGGGUGACAGCCAGUGCACUUAGUAGACAAAAUGAUUCCCGAUCACAUGGUCUGUGAACCUGGAAAAUGGUGCCUGGAACCCUACUGCCCAGCUUAAGGAAUCACCGAUGUCACUGGCCCCUGAAGCCCCUCCCAGGUCACCUGGCCAGCCCACCUGACCCCAGAGUGAGCACGAUCCUAAAUGUUGCAUUGCUUGUUCCUGUAUCUCAUAGUGCUAUAUUUCCCCCUUG